rnacentral:lncRNA from 1 species
GAAUGCCAAUGAGACAACUCUCCAUCUAACUUCAAUUAUAAAAAGUUCGGUCUUCAACACGGAGCCUUGGGUCACACCAAACGGCAAGUUAUAAAGGGCCCUUAAAACAUUACUAGUGUAAAACCAUUUGUACGGGAAAACAAACGGUCUAAUAUAUAUUAAAAAAAAUGAGAAACGAGAAACACUUAUGAACCAAAAAAAAAAACCAAAAAAAACGACAAUAACUGAACAUCAGAUCAAACAAUUGAAGUGGAUUAAAAGUUUUAAUGGUACCAAACCUGCUCCCUUAUCUGAAGCAAUAGUUGAACAUCACAACAUAGACAGAC